UUAAACACAGUCGAACCCUCACACGCACCUGCACCACAUUCCAGACCACACAUUACUGCUGCCUUCUGCAUCCAAGAAAACAUACCUUCCCAUUUACUAUCUUUUAAUGUGAAGACGAGUAGUGUAAGGAGCUGGUGACAAUGGCCUCAACUGCUGUGUUGAUGUUGGUGGUAGUUCUUUCUCUCAUCCCUGCCUCUACUGCCAUCAUGGUUGAUGAAGGCACCUACACUUCGCAAUACAGCGUGCUGGUGGCGCCUGUGUUGUUGUUUAUACUGGUGGUGUACCUAGAGAGUCAGAGGAGGCAAGCAGACUUCAGUGACCCCACCAAGAUCACCGUAUAUGAAGUACAAUAAGAGAUUAUGCAAAAUAAAAAAAUAAAAAAGUGGGAAUAUUUUGGACAGAGGUUAACAAUGGAACCCACAAAUUCAUUCAUUUCCUUGUCAUUUAAUACCGUGAAGUGUUCAUCUCAACUACGCGUCCACUGAAUUUUAACCUGAAAAUGCUAUAAAAUAUAUUUGAAA